CAAUUGCGGGGCUAUAUACAGGGGGUACCGGUCAAUGUCAAUUCGCGGGGGCACCGGUGUCGAGGUAAUUGAGGCAAUAUGUACAUGUAGGUAGAGUUAUUAAAGUUAUUAAGUGACUAUAAUAACAUAGAGUAGCAACAGCGUAGAAGUCUGUGUGUGGAGGAGGCAUACAAGUAGUCUGUGUAGCCAUUUGAUUAGCUGUUCAGGAGUCUUAUGGCUUGGGGGUAGAAGCUGUUUAGAAGCCAUCACCAUGGAAACAGUGUGUUGUGAGCCAAUGGGGGAAGUGGGAGUCCCAGACCAGAGUGGGAAAGUUGUUCGCAGGGAAUAUUUUGGUGCCAUCAGCAGUUUUCCUUUCUGGCUACUCCCACGACACAUUUGAUGAAACGUGUCACUUCCUCAGCUUGGUGUCCAUGUUGUGGUGACAGUUCACCAACAUACAUCACCUCUACUUUGUGCCAGAGGUUAACCACAUGUGGACCCUGCAGACGGAGGCUAUUCUGGCUUCAAUUGGUGACAGUCCACUGAUUGUAUCCGGAGACGCACGCUGAGAUGCGCGAGGCCACUGUGCCUCCUUCAGCUCUUACACCAUCCUGGACUGCUUCUCACCUGAUCCUCACCAAGGAGACAGUGCAUGAGACCGAUGUGAAGAACAGCUACUGGUUGGAGACGGAGGGUUUAGAGAGAUGCCUGCAACAUAUUGAGGCCCAUGGAUGCGUAGUCGAAACUCUGACCACCGACGGCAUACAAGUGUGAGGGUGUUCUUGAGGGACUCCAAUCCUCAUAUCUGGCAUGAGUACUACCUGUGGCACAAUGCCAAAGAUGUGAGGAAAAAGCUGUUGGCCAUCGCGAAGCCAGAGACAGAGGCGAUAGUUCAAGUCAAUGACUCAUUUGUUCAUUUGUUCCUGGUCUGUCUCCGGUAAUGCCAUGGUUGAGGGCAAUCACACACCACUUGGGAUACUGUGCCACCACUGCUGGUGGAAGAGUCCAGCUGGCGAAGGAAAAGGGGAUCACUGUAGUUCACCACAUCACAUAUGAGCACCCGCAACAGACCUCUCCCCCUGCACACCUCAAGAGGAAGAAACACGACCCUGGCUGAUCACAGCAUCAACAGCUUUUGAGAAAGUGAGAAACAUCAUGCCCAACUUGAGAUUGCUAAAGGAUCUCUGUAAAUACACUACAUGUCCAAGAGUAUGCGGACACCUGCUUGUCGAACAUCUCGUUCCAAAGACAUGGGCAUCAAUAUAGAGUUGGUCCCCCUUUUGCUGCUAUAAUAGCCUCCACUCUUCUGGGAAGGCUUUCCACUAGAUGUUGGAACAUUGCUGCGAGGACUUGUUUCCAUUCAGCCACAAGAACAUUAG